GUGUCUGACAGAGGAGAUAUAAAGGUAUCUAUUAGAAGAGUUACGGUACUCUACUCCAUGUGUUGGUGAUGUCUGACAGAGGAGAUAUAAAGGUAUCUAUUAGAAGAGUUACGGUACUCUACUCCAUGUGUUGGUGGUGUCUGACAGAGGAGAUAUAAAGGUAUCUAUUAGAAGAGUUACGGUACUCUACUCAAUCUGUCUAUAUUUAUCUCAAUGUGUUUUUUCCAACCCACUUUCCACUAGUCCAGGGGAAAAUCACUAUGACCAGAACAGAUGGUAAAAAGUGUAAUCUCUCCCUUCCUUUUUCUCUCUCUCUCCUUUUCUCCCCUGUCUCUCUCUCUCUCUCUCUCUCUCUCUCUCUCUCUCUCUCUCUCUGUCUCUCUCUCUCUCUCUCUCUCUCUCGCUCUCUCUCUCGCU
rnacentral:lncRNA from 1 species